rnacentral:rRNA from 1 species
GAUGAACGCUAGCGGCAGGCUUAAUACAUGCAAGUCGAACGGGAUUCAGGGUAGCAAUACUUUGAUGAGAGUGGCGCACGGGUGCGUAACGCGUAUGCAACCUACCUUUAACAGGGGAAUAGCCCCAAGAAAUCGGGAUUAAUACUCCGUAACAUUGCGGGAUGGCAUCAUUCUGCAAUUAAAGAUUUAUCGGUUAAAGAUGGGCAUGCGUGACAUUAGCUUGUUGGUGAGGUAACGGCUCACCAAGGGCAACGAUGUCUAGGGGUCCUGAGAGGGUUAUCCCCCACACUGGUACUGAGACACGGACCAGACUCCUACGGGA